UUUCCCAUAUCUGGAUUGAGCCUUGGUAUGGAAACUUACCAAGUGAUAACUUUCAAAUUCAGAGAAACCCUGGAAUUGACAAUGGGCAAUCCUGAGCCAAAUCCCGUUUUUUCGCAAAAACAAAGAAAAGUUCAGAAAGCGAAAAUAAAAAGGAUAGGUGCAGAGACUCAAUGGAAGCUGUUCUAACAAACGGAGUUGACGACAUUUACUUUCGCGUUGGGUUAGGAAAGGAAUCCUUUCAUCGAAAUUUUGUAAAGGAUCAAGAAUAAAUGUAUAUACAUAUAUAC
rfam:Lupinus angustifolius cultivar Tanjil contig_34257, whole genome shotgun sequence.